GCACCGGUGGUGUACGGUACACACCCUGUACUCUUAAGAAGUCCAUAUCAUUGAUGGGGCGCCCGGGGUUCGACUCCCCGCCGGGGCA